GUUCAUUUGAACAUUCUCUGAUGACCUGUCGCUGAGGUCAUGUGAUGAUGCGUAUCCUGUCUCCACCCCAACUGCCGCUGGGUUUGAACUGCCGGCUGGACCACUCACCAGAAUGGGAGGCAGCCUCUGCUGCUGUGGUGAAGGUUGUUGCCCCGAUGAACCGGAAUCCACGCACAGAUUUAGAGCGCAUAUGCGCCGUGAUCCUGAUUUGCCCCCUGAAGGUCAGCUAUAUACAGGCUUCUUCUACCUCCAGGAGUGGCAGUGGCCCUCGGUGACUUCCUGGGACCUGAUCCGGGCAGCACACUCGACGUUCUCAGCGAUUCAGGAAUACAUGGCAAGAGAUUCUCUCUUGAAGAAACUCCGCAGGAAAAGCAGAGAUGAAGACGCCGCAGAAGUGCAGGCAGAGGAACAGGCCGAGGAGAAAGAUUCCACCGAGGAUCUCCAGGAAAAGCCUCCUUGGAAAGUGAAGGAGGCCUGGAGAGAGCAGGAGAGUGCGACGGUGACCAAUCAGAUCAUCCCAGAAGCGGUUGUAGCUCGUCGCAAGCGAACAGGAGGACUAGGAGCUCACGUGAAAAGACGUUUCAAGUUUCUUUCAGCAGAGCUUCCUAGAGAGAAGUCCACAGAGGAAGUCCUGGCCGUUUUCAAAAGGGACUCAGCGUUUCAGUCAAGCGGUCCCAUGGAGGGUCCCGUGGAAAAAUUCAUCUAUGAAUCAGAUGAGGAGGCCCCACGACAGUGGCAGGUCAGGCCACCUGCUGUUGUCACAGAAAAAGCCGGCGGACUGCCUGAAGAAAAAGGUUCCAGGAAGGAGCCCCUGGAAGACAGCAACAAAGGCUCAGCUGAGGACGCUUCCCAAUAUUUGAAGGUACCAACAAGACCUCUCCCGGCACCUCCAGAAAAGGCAAAAGAGACAAACCCUGAGCAGGCAGAAGAAAUAAAACCUAGUGAGCUCAAGGAGAAUGAGGAUGUUAAAGAGCCUGAACUGACCUGUUGUGGCCUGACCUGUUGUGGCCUUUGUAUUUCAUGGUGGAAAUCACUAAAGAUACCAACAAGUCCUCUCCCGGAACCUGAAGAAAAAGCAAUAGAGACAAACCCUGAACAGGCAGAAGAAAUAAAACCUAGUGAGCUCAAGGAGGAUGAGAAUGCUGAAGAGCCUGACUCGACCUGUUCUGGCUUUUGUACUUCAUGGUGGAAAUCCCUAAAGAUUUGUCAACCUCCGGAAGGGCCGAAACUCGGUAGAUUUCCCUGGCCCGUCAGCCCUCUGGAUCGUGCGAGUAUUGGAGAAUCCCCUUCCUCUGUAGUUUUUUUUGGCCUUCUUUAA
rnacentral:lncRNA from 1 species